rnacentral:lncRNA from 1 species
CUGGGCCCAAGCCAUUGGGAGUCUCGAUGGGCACCAGCAGGUGGCCUGUGGAGGCAUUCACAAGCACGGAGAGGCUGGCUUUUCCAUCGCUGAGCACAGGCUGGACCACCUCUGGGGCAUUAUCAUUGGCAUCCAAGAGGCUGACCCACACAGAGACACUGGAUGCAAGCAUGGGUUGCCCGCUGUCCUCUGCGAUCACCUGGAACUCAAAGCCGGCCAUCUCUUCAUAGUUCAGUGACCUCUGAGCAGUGACCUCUCCUGUGUUGGAGUCAAUAGCUACUAAGUGAGCAACUGGGGAGUCCUGGAUGCGGUAUGAG